UCCGCCCUGCCCUGCCAGUGUGGUCCCCGCCACCCCCCCACCCGACUAUUCUAGAAGCAGUCAGGCCUGCCCACUCCAGCAGCAAAGGAGAUCUGUUCCUGAUGUUGUUCCCCUUCCAAAUAUUUUCAGAUAUGUCCUCCAUUCCGUGACGCGCUGCUAAGGUCAGGAAAGGAACAUUGAGCAAUCAGAGGGAGUGGCCGUCCAUGGACGCCGUGACCCGCCCCGCCUCGGGGGCUCCUUUGGAACUUUUUUUUUAAGUGUCCGUGGAGGAAUCGUCCUGUUGAGCGAUGCCUGGGUGACGCGACCCAAGGCUAUAAAAGCAAAAGUUGUGUCCCUCACCAGCAGGAGUUAGUGACAAGGAGGGCUGCCUUCUGGGUCUAGUGGCGGGGCGGAAGUGGCUAGUUCAGGGCCCAGAUCAGAGAGAUGGCAGAGCUAGCAGCCUCCACUAGCAUGGGGAUGGGAGAAGUCAAGGUGUUGGCAGUGCGCUUGUGUGGAUGGCAGCUUCCAAAGCGUCUUCAACCCACACAGGGGCAGCAGCCUUCUAGACCAGGCUAGCCCUGCGGUCUGGCGUGGGGAGUCCUAACUCCAGGAGAGCACAAGUCUCACGGGCCUACAUGGGCCGUGUUCUAACCUAGUGGCAGAGCCGGUGGUGAAGACAGGUGGACCCGGCCCUUGAGGCCCUGGACAUCUUGAAAAAUAGGCAGCGAGGGCAGGGUUAGGUGGGCAGCGGGGUUAGCUUUGAACUUGACAAUGCCAGCAGACCCUUUUUUUCCAGAUAGGGCUUGUUACCUGCCUGGGGUUGAGGCCUGCUCUUACGGAAAGUGGACUUAGCAUCGUGGGGCUGACAGCUCUGGCCCUGGGUGGUAUGUAAUUUGGGCUUAGCCCGAUAGCACGCAGUUGUGGGUGUGAGGGGUGGCCCGAGGUGUGGUUGUAGAGGCAAGAAGUUUUCUUCUAAGGUCUGCUAGGCUGGGGCUACCGAGGUUGAAGGCGCGCGUCCGAGGCCACAUCGAUUACAGCUUUAUUUUUCAGUGUUCAUCAUGCCAAGCAGAUGGCACCAGGAGAAAUGGAGCCCCUGCCAGUGUGUCGUAGCAGUGACGAGGCAGACCCUGGAGGAGACGGCCUCCACAGUGAAUUCCAGAGGCCUGGGAAGCUCUGCACUGCCGUGUGUGUUCAGGAGGCCACCCUCUAAGUGGUUCAGAUCAGCUAAUGGGGGUGGGGACUGGAGGGCUCUCGGCGGCCGUGAAUGUUCCAGAUGAGUGUCUUGUUCUGGGAGCACCAGUCUCCGGAUGCCCUUUCCUGGGGGUAGAGGCAUUCAGCUGCUGCAUCUUCUGAAUCAAGCCUCCAGUCUUUAGUUCUGUGCUACGAACUUGGCUUCGAGAAGAUUGCUUAAGGUGUAGAACACUUUAACAUUGUCGUCGACCGCAGCACAUUGUAGAUGGUGUUUGCAGGAGGAGCCCCGGGACCUCGCCCACCUUCCCUGCGGCCUGCCUGCCUCUGCAUUGGUCAGAGGCGUUCUUAAAUGUGAUGAAACUUUUGGGUGUUGGGAAAACUUCAAUUUUAAAUGACAGAUGGAAGAGUAUUAGAUGAAGCCAAUUGUUAAAUGGGUGGGGUGUUUUUUAAAAGUAUGGGAGAGCACAGUUUUGUUGGGAUUUGAGAUGGCAUAUCUAAUUUGGGCGUUGGGGUAGUAUCUGGUAUUAAGGAAUGGUGCACCGGCCUGCAGUGGUCUCUGGGAAUUUCCGGUACCGGGUGGUAGGCUGGUGCUACGCCACUGAGUGGCACACAGUUCUUGUUGCUCCUUUUUGUUGAUUGGCUUUUCUGACUUGACUGUAUCAGGCUGGCAACAGCGCUCAGUCCUGCUGGUGUCAUCCAAAACUUCACCUUCCCCCUUAUACUUGAGUUUUACUGGAUCAGGCUUCAGAAUCCUUUUGGCACAAGAGGGAAAACAGGGUUUAGCUUGGCACUGGUCUCUUGGCCAGAGGCUUGAUGAAGGACUGGGUGGGCUGGCAAGGAAUGUGAUUGGAAAAUGUGGGUCGAUGGGAAUAACAGUUUGGGAACUAAGUAGCUCACAUAAAAUGUAAAAGUUGAUGGUAAA